rnacentral:lncRNA from 1 species
CUUGUUUGCGGUAUUUCCAUCAUCAGCUACUGGAUUAAUGGGGCUUGAUUUCAGUUUUUUCAUUGGACUGGUAUCAUCUUCAACAAGUUGAGAUUCAUUGCUUUCAAUAACAGCUGACAGAACGGAUGAUAUCUCUGGAGUCCUGGCACAUGGCUCUCCCCAACCAAAAUCAGAGCAGUCAAAAGAGUUACUUCCAACAUCAGAGUUGAAGUAGAUAUCGGUACCAGCUGAAGGGGCAAAUGAGCCAAAUCCCGUAUCUCCAGAAGCACUGCUCCCAUCCUCACAUCCAAACUGCUUCGUCAUGGGUUUCUCUUCAAGAAAUCCCAAAGAAUCAUAACAGCAAUCCUCCAUGUUGUUUAUGAUAGUCGAGUCGGGCUGAACCGAGUCCAGGAUCUCCUUAGGAAGGACCUUUUGAGGAUUCACCUUAACAGUACGUCUCGAGGCAGGCACUGGAGCUUCAUCGGGAAAGUUUACCUUAGCUUUAUUGCCUCUGAUCCUCCUAGCCUCAACAUCAUAAGCUCUGGCAGCUUCUUCUGCAGUAUUGAAAGUUCCCAGCCACACCCGAACCCCUUUUCUUGGGUCACGUAUUUCAGCUGCCCACUUACCCCAAGGUCGCUGUCUGAUCCCCCUAUACUGAUUCUUCCUCUUUCUCUUAGAGGAUCUAUCAGCAUCCUUGUCUGAAUCAUCAGUUUUCACAGAUUUGGAGCCUUCAACUAAUAAAAUGAAUCAAGUAUUUUAGUCAUCCAUUAUGCCACUACAAGUUGCAAUGACUAAUUGAUAAAAUAGCAUGAUAUAUAGAUAACCAUAACGCACAAGAUGCCUAAUUACAAGAAAACAUACAGAACACUUUCCCUGAUAUCAGUGGUGCUAGAUUACUACAGCCAACAGCUUACACAAAAACACAACAAUCAAUUCUUCCCAAAAUGUCUACGUAUCAUGAUUAACAACCACAGAACUGAGAAAACCUAGAUCUAAGCUUAUUGCCUGAUCAAGUCCUGUUCUUUUAGUUCUUUCUAUAAGCAUAAUGAAGUAAAUUCUCUGGAGGUACAGAGCUCAUAAUCCAGAGAUCCUGCUCCCAAAAGUAACUAUUUAGCAAUCAAAUUGGAGCUAAACAGGAGAUUUUGACCCAAAUAAACAACACACUGAUAAAAAGAUUGAUUUUUAUAACCACUUUUUGGUCUAAAAGUCUUCAUAAAGUUUUCCAGCCAGAUUCAAUGUGAUGAUGUAGAUGUUGAUGAGUAUUAAAGUUGAUAAGACAUAAUAAACGUAAAAGUUAGAGAGAAAAAAACAUGAUUAACUUUCUGUUUGGUGCCAACGAGCCCUCAGAUUAAAGGUUCUAUCCAAAAUAUCCAUCUUCAUUUUUGCACUAACUCGGAUUCAUUGUUUUAGUUAAUCAAGUAAAAAAAAAAGCAUCUUGGCUUCUACCUAUUUUCACAUGCCGCACAUUUUCCCUAUUGCCAAAAAGCUACCUCCUUUUGUCCACUUAAAUUUCAAAUCUAAUAACAAUAACUUCACUAGCAGACACAAAAUCUCAAUCCAGGCCAAUAAUAGCUACAGUAGUCGUUAUCAAUCAAUUAAAUGAACUAUUCACUAUUCCCUUCCCGCAGCAGAUCACAAAAGAGGAAAACAAGGUUUUUAAAAAAAAUACCAUUAGAGUUUUUCGAAGCAGAGAAGGCAAAUGGCUUGACAUCGACUUGAACAUCCUCGUCAUCGGAGAAAUCUUUAAAGUCCUGAAAAUCAGCCUCGAAGUCAUCGUCUAGGUCAACUACUUGGGAUCUCAACGGCUUGGAGUGAUAAUUGUUAGGAUUUUUUUGCUUAUU